UCAGUGUUGCCAACUUAGCAACUUUGCCGCUAAAUGUAGCGACUAUUCAGACCCUUCAAGCAACUUUUUUUCGAAACAGCGACUAGUGAGAAAUCUAGCAACUUUUCCUGGUGUUAUUGGAGACUUUUGGAGACUGAUGUGAAAGCAUGUAUUUCUCUUCAAUGAGCAGCAGGUGCCUUUGUGGGACUGGAGCCCUCCCCCUUCCAAAGCACAUAGAUCACUCACCUCCUCCGCUCGCACAGAAAAGGAGACAGACAACUAGCAGCGAGGUACUCCAUUUCAUUGGUUGAGAGCUCUUUGCACUGAGCACUUCUGAUUGGCUCACACAGACACAAAACAAGCUGGUUCCCACCUCCGUCUUUGCAACUGUGUAUGUUUACUUUUCGCCAUAUAAAAUUCUAUUCGUAAAUUGUUUUUAGCCCGAGUCUUAAAUGUUUUUUCACCGACACACAAAUUUAAAUCAGAACAG